CCUACGGGUGGCUGCAGUGGGGAAUUUUGGACAAUGGGGGCAACCCUGAUCCAGCCAUGCCGCGUGAGUGAAGAAGGCCUUCGGGUUGUAAAGCUCUUUCGGCCGGGAAGAAAUCGCGCCUUCUAAUACGGGGUGUGGAUGACGGUACCGGAAGAAGAAGCACCGGCUAACUACGUGCCAGCAGCCGCGGUAAUACGUAGGGUGCGAGCGUUCAUCGGAAUUACUGGGCGUAAAGCGUGCGCAGGCGGCGGAAGCCCCGGGCUUAAGCGGGGAACUGCGGUGGUGACUGUGGUGCUUGAGUGCGGCAGAGGGGGGUGGAAUUCCACGUGUAGCAGUGAAAUGCGUAGAGAUGUGGAGGAACACCGAUGGCGAAGGCAGCCCCCUGGGUCGACACUGGCGCUCAUGCACGAAAGCGUGGGGAGCAAACAGGAUUAGAUACCCGGGUAGUC
rnacentral:rRNA from 1 species